rnacentral:rRNA from 1 species
GACGAACGCUGGCGGCGUGCCUAAUACAUGCAAGUCGAACGCAGUGGGGAUGGGUGAGUAACACGUGGGUAACCUCCCAUCAGAGGGGGGAAAACUUGGAAACAGGUGCUAAACCGAGACUGAUGGAUGGACCCGAGGUGGAUUAGCUCGUGGGUGAGGUAACGGCUCACCAAGGCCACGAGGCAUAGCCGACCUGAGAGUGUGACCGGCCACACUGGGACUGAGACACGGCCCAGACGCCUACGGGAGGCAGCAGUGGGGAAUCUUCGGCAAUGGGCGCAAGUCUGACAGAGCAACGCCGCGUGAAUGAAGAAGGUUUUCGGAUUGUAAAGCUCUGUUGUUAGAGAAGCGGUAACUAACCAGAAAGCCACGGCUAACUACGUGCCAGCAGCCGCGGUAAUUC